rnacentral:lncRNA from 1 species
GCGCUCGCCACACAGCUUCGGCCUCCAAGCCCAUCCCCGAGCCUGGCCCCGGCUGCAGCGUCGGUUCCCGGCAGCCCCACGGAGAGCCGGGCGCACACGCGGGAACUGCGGGAGGCAGAGUAGAGCGGAGCCGCCCCGCCGCGGCCGUCCCCUCCCCGAGGCCGGCACCUCCGCUCAGCGUCGCCGAUUCCUCCCCGCGGGGCCGACCCUCCCGCGACUGCCCUCGCCCCUCGGCCGCCUCCCGGGCGCACAGCACGCAGCCACCCACCCGGCGCCAAAGUUGCGACCGCUGCCCCGCGCGCGCUGCGACCGGCCGCGCCAACUUCCCAGCCCACGCCGCUCCGGUCCCAGCUCUCCCCCGCCUCCCAGCCCCGGCGGCGCGCGGGGCAGAGCUUAGGUGGCGGCGGCAGCCGAGGUGGCGGCGAAAGCGGCGGCGGCGGCAGCGGCGGCGGCGGCCG